GAUGAAGAACGUAGUGAAAUGCGAUAAGUAAUGUGAAUUGCAGAAUUCCGUGAAUCAUCGAAUCUUUGAACGCACAUUGCGCCCCCUGGUAUUCCGGGGGGCAUGCCUGUCCGAGCGUCAUUGCUGCCCUCAAGCACGGCUUGUGUGUUGGGCCUCCGUCCUCCUCCCGGGGGACGGGCCCGAAAGGCAGCGGCGGCACCGCGUCCGGUCCUCGAGCGUAUGGGGCUUCGUCACCCGCUCUUGUAGGCCCGGCCGGCGCUUGCCGACACAUCAAUCUUUUUUCCAGGUUGACCUCGGAUCAGGUAGGGAUACCCGCUGAACUUAAGCAUAUCAAUAAGCGGAGGA
rnacentral:misc_RNA from 1 species